rnacentral:rRNA from 1 species
CCUACGGGUGGCAGCAGUGGGGAAUAUUGGGCAAUGGUCGCAAGCCUGACCCAGCAACGCCGCGUGAAGGAAGAAGGUUUUCGGGUUGUAAACUUCUUUUAAGAGGGAAGAGCAGAAGACGGUACCUCUUGAAUAAGCCACGGCUAACUACGUGCCAUCAGCUGCGGUAAUACGUAGGUGGCCAGCGUUGUCCGGAAUUCCUGGGUGUAAAGGGCGUGCAGCCGGGCUGACAAGUCAGAUGUGAAAUCCCGUGGCUCAAACACGGAACUGCAUUUGAAACUGUCGGUCUUGAGUAUCGGAGAGGCAGGCGGAAUUCCUAGUGUAGCGGUGAAAUGCGUAGAUAUUAGGAGGAACACCAGUGGCGAAGGCGGCCUGCUGGACGACAACUGACGGUGAGGCGCGAAAGCGUGGGGAGCAAACAGGAUUAGAUACCCGAGUAGUC